GUAAAUGGCACACCAGCUCCAGCUCUCAUUGUGUUCCUCUUUCACCACCCAUCCCUGCAGGACGCAGGCACCAUUUACAGCCACAUGAGUGUUCCCACUUCCCAGAUACCUGCCGAGGUGCCGGGAUGGCUCCAGGUUGGGCAAAGUUUGGGUGCCCUGGCUCCAUUCCUCCCACGGAGGGUUGUGGGUACCUCACCACCCCUGCAUGCGUGUGGUCGGCUGCUCCCAUGAUGCCUGUGUGCGGAUCUGCCUUUGGAAUGCUAUCCUCCAUCCUGCGCCCAGUGUACAUGAGAAAGGACCAGGCAGCGUGACCAACAUGGAGCUGGAAGGGAGCCGAGCUGCCCUGGAAGAGGAGGAGGAGGAGGAUGGCACCAAAUACAAUCUGGAGACAACGGAGCCGCCGUCCUGUCCUGAGACUGCAGGCGCCCGGGCAAAGGACCAAUGCGAUUCCCUACUGGACUCCAUCGACGCUCAGCUCAGCCAGCUGCUGGGCCCUGGUGCAGGAGUCGCAGGUGGUUGCAUGAAUGGAGACACCUCCUUGGAAUGCUCCCCCAAGGCCUCCUGGACAGCAGGCGUCCCCGUCACCAGUUUCGACACCGUCACCAUCGACAGUGACCUGGACUCGGUGAGGACGGAGACAGUCCAGGUUCACUUCCGCAAGGCCGUCGGCUGCCGGAGAGCUCCAGGCUGCAGCACCAAGGGGCCCCGCUGCCCACGGAGAGACUCGUUGGGGUGCCUGGGCUCCAGCAGUGCAGUCACUGAGGAAGAGGAGGAGGCGGAGGAAGAGUUCCUGUGGUCUCGUGGCAGUGCCGACUGGAGGAGCAGCAGCCCUGUGAGGUGGAGCUCAAUGCCACGCAGGACAGAAUCCAGUUGGGAGGAUACCAGGAAGGAAGCCUGCACGGAGCACCAGGACCUGGGCACUGAAGAGGAGAGGCUGUUGCAGAGGAAAUCCCAGCUACACGAGGCUGACUUGUCCCUGAGUGACAUCCUGGGUCAGAAAAAGCGCGCGGUCCAGGACCUGGAGUCGCUGCAUGGAGCCUUGGAGAGAAGCCAGAAGGAGGCAGAGACGCUGGAGUCCUGCCUGAAGGAGACUCGAAGCAAAGCGGAUGAAGCCAGGGCAGACCUGCUGCUGCUGCAGUACAGACGGGACUCCUGCCUGCGGGAGCUGCCGGAGCUGGAGAAGGAGCUGAGUGUGCUGAGACAGCAGCACUCCACCAUGCACAGCACCCAGCUAGGGGCCUUCCAGGCCGAGGUCUCCUCACUAGCGGCCGAGCGGGAGGAGCUGAAGGCCCGUGUGCGUCACCUGGAGGGCAGCUUGUCCUUCCUGGAGCACCAGCUGAGCUGCUGCAAGGCAGAGUUGUUCUCUGAGCAGCGGGCAGCCAGAGCCAGCAUCGAGGAGCUGCAGGAGUGCCUGGAGGAAGCUCAGAACAAGCUGGAGGAGAGGACAGCAGAGGGGACAGAGCUCCAGGAGGAGACCACGCGACUGAGACUGCAGCUCAGGGAGCUGGAGAGGAAGCAGGCAGCAGCUCUGAGUGGGCAGAUCCGAGACCUCCGAGUGCAGGAGACGGAGCAGGAGCUGAGACUCUCUGCUCUGAAGAAGAUCCUGUCGGAGAAGGAGCUAGAGCUGGUGAGGCUGCGAGAGGUCAUCUGUGCCCUGACGGCCGAGAAGGAAGCUCAGCAACGCGCUAUGGAGAACCUGAGAGAAGAACAUGACAGGCAGCUGGGGAAGAUGCAGCAGGAGAAGUUUGCAGAGAGUUUGGAGCACGUGAAGGCCAGGGCCCUCCAGGAUCAAGCCGCCUCCUUCCAGAAGGAAGUGGAGAAUCUCAUCAGGGUGAUCAAGGACCGAGAUGAAGAGGUUCGGAGGCAGCGGGAGACCAUGCAGCAACAGAAGGAGUCUACACAGCAGCUGGUCAGAGAGCUGAAGCAGGAAGCCAAGGAGAUGGUUCAGAGUGCUCUGCUUCAGGAGCAAAGGAAGUGGGAGGCUGAGAAGAGGGAAGCCCUCCAGGUGCAGUGUAGGACACUGGAAGAGCAGAGCCAGAGAUCGCAUGCGGAGGCCCUGGACAAAGAGAGGAGGACGGUGUCAGUUUUGCAGAAUAAAACCCUGGAGUACCAGCAGAGAAUUCAGGAGCUGGAGCUCCACGGCCACUCGCUCCAGCAGGAGAAGCAGGAGGCGCUGGACGAGCUGCGGACGUUGCUGCAGGAGGAGAAGAUGGAGGCACUAAGGAGACUGCGCGAGGAGCUGGAGCAGGAGAGGGCUCAUGAGAGUGAUCGGCUGAGAGUGACGCUGCAGCAGCUGGAGGAGGAGCAGAGCCACUUGCGGGCUGCGCAGAACGAAAUGUCCUCCCGGGAGCGGGAGGCGCAGUCCCAAGCUGAGCAGGCCGAGCGCUCCCUGGCCAGGGAGAUCGGCUUGGCCUGCCAACACCUCCAGGACCUGCUUCCUGAGAGAGGCAGGGGGCUGAUGGCUCAUGGGAGCCCAGCUCCCCUCUCGGCCAGCCACGCACUUCAGCUCCUGCAUGCAGUGACCGAGGAGACCCAGCGCUACCUCGGAGCCUUGCAGCAGGAGCUGGAAGCUCAGAACUGCACCAUGCUUCACUUCCAGGAGGAGAAGGAGUGGGAGCUGAGGCAGCAGCGAGAGCAGCUUCACUUGGAGAGCAAGGAAGCCCUGGAGGCCCUGAAGGAGCAGCUCAUCCAAGAGCACCUCCAGGAGAUCGCCAGCCUGCAGCGCAGCCAGCUGAAGGAGGCUGGGGAGGGGGAGCAGCAGAUGCUGCACCAGCAGCUGCGGGAGAAGGACCACGAGCUGCGGGCCAUCCAGAGGAGCAUGGCCCACUGGAAAGACCAGACCACCUGCAAGCUGGCCCGCAAGUUUGAGGAGGAGCUGAAUGCGGCGCUGGAGACGCGCUUCUCCUGGGACAGACCCAGGGGCCUUCGCAGGAGUGUGGAGAGACUGGACGCAGAAAUUGGGCGGCUUUCCACGGACCGGAGCAAGCACACCCAUCUCUGCCCCACCGCCUCCUCCUCCUCCUCCGCCCCACUCGGGCAGCACGGCUUUGUGUCCUCAAAGCUCCUGCGCCAGCUGCAGGGCCGCGUGAGGGAGCUGCGGGCAGAGAAUGCCCUUUACCGGGGGCGCAGCCUGGAGGACCUCGCCGCCCUGCGGGCAGAGCCAGGCCAGAAGGGCAGAGAAAAGUUCCAUGGGGCGAGCUGUAGGAAGUAGCAUGUGUGCUGCUGGGGAACAGGAAGCUGAGCAGGUGGAAGAGUCGUCUCCUGUGGAUAGACAGUGCGUGGUGGAGGCCUGGCUAGAGCAGGGGUGGAGUCACGCUCGACUUGGAGGGUAUCCAGCGGCACAUUCCCUGCUCCCGGGAGUCAGGAAAGAAGCAGAUCACAUGAGCUUGAGAAGGACCCAGGACGCUCUCUGCUGAGCCACUUGUGUGGAAGCGUCCCCAUCACGAACUCUUGGCUGCUCUUCAUGCUCCUGGGCUCAGUUUCCUGCUUGGCGAAGCAAGGCCCUUGUUCCCUUCCAAUCAGACCCCUUGCAGUCGGUGGGGGAAGACGGGAGUGAUCGGUCAGGGAGGGGAUCUAGGGCUGGGGCCAGUCCAAAGAGCAAGUCCAGGCAAACACUGGAGCCCAAGUGAAAGAGUCUCCGGUCAAAUAUUCCAGAAGCACAUGCCUGCCUCUCACAAGAGGUCUGGGCACAGCUCUGGCUGGUUGGGCUGCAGCUGGCUCAGGAUUCUGCAGCUGGUUGCUGGCUGGCUGGGCCCCCCCACUCCACCUCCAAGUAGCAGCAGAGCCAUCUUUGCAACUCCACCUUGCGGUGCUUUGCCAGCUUGCAAAAUGCAACUGGGGCAGGUGUGUAUCAGAGUAGCCUAGAUGUCAGGUAUGAGGCCUGCAGCGGACCCAGUCUCUGGGCAGGCUAAUGAGUGCAGCUGGCCUACAGUAGGCUGCCUGAUUGGCUGCAGCCCCUGAUUGAUGGGCAGUGGCAGCAGGCCAGUCGUUAAGCCCAGCAGCAGUGGCGUUUGGGAGUUGGUCAACGCAUUUGCCCACGGCUGUGAUAGCUCCUGUACCUGCUUGUAUCCAGUCCUACUUGUGCCUUGCCUCAGUCCAGGUAAUCCAGCACUGACCCUCAGCUCUGAGAUCUAACGCCAGCUCUUCCACACGCUUCUAUUCUUGGCUACUGACUCCUGUUCCAACCACUAGGCAUGACUGCCCACCGCCCCAUCUCUGAGCCUGGGCAGAGGGUGAGUUCCAGGGGCAGUCAGCACUGUGAAAUGGUCCCGAUAAGCUUGCUCGCCCCACUGCAGCAGUCUUUGUAGAUAUGCUGCUACAGUCUAGCUUCAUUCCCUACACUGGCAUAUUGUGGUUAAAUGCCGAUGGGGCUGCUAAAGUGGAUGUUGAUCAGUUUUUUUGCCGCAGAGCUUCAAACAGUCUUUAAAAAGCCCAGUGUGUUCAUGUGAAAGGUAAGACUUUGGUCUCCUCAGGGGGAACCACAUUUUUGGUGCAUCCUGAAGACUAGCCGGCAGAGCACUCCCUAUGCCUCGCAAGCCAUGGGUAACCCACUAGUCCUAGCUCCGCCAUAUUGUGGCAUUAAAUACCGUACCAGCACAAUCAAGCCAUCUCUUAUUAUAUGCAGGGUGUUUCCAACUGCUGUCCAUUCCAAUGGACCAGUGUAUUGCAACCAUGACUGUAGAUACUUUGUACAUAAAUACAACAGGGCAUGCUCGGACUGCCUGGUUUUAUAUGUAUGGGGGAAAGGGAGGUUGGGGGAGGAGGGGUGGUAAUUUUGUUGGGGGAUAAGAGAAGCUUGUCAAGCAGGCCCUUCAGGGCAGUGUUUGGAGCCAGGCUAAAUCUGCAGUAGCAGGGUGACAGUGGGUCAAGAAACCAUAAAACAAGGAGACCCACAAAUACUGGAGCUGUGUGACACCUUUGGCCAGAAUAAAUGUUUUAUCCCCCACA
ensembl:lncRNA